rnacentral:rRNA from 1 species
UACAGAGGUCUCAAGCGUUGUUCGGAUUCAUUGGGCGUAAAGGGUGCGUAGGCGGCGCGGUAAGUCGGGUGUGAAAUCUCGGAGCUUAACUCCGAAACUGCAUUCGAUACUGCCGUGCUUGAGGACUGGAGAGGAGACUGGAAUUUACGGUGUAGCGGUGAAAUGCGCAGAUAUCAGGAGGAACACCGGUGGCGAAGGCGGGUCUCUGGGC